CCUACGGGCGGCUGCAGUAAGGAAUAUUGGUCAAUGGACGAAAGUCUGAACCAGCCAUGCCGCGUGGAGGAUGAAGGUCCUCUGGAUUGUAAACUUCUUUUAUAUGGGACGAAAAAAGGCCUUUCCAGGUCGUCUGACGGUACCAUAUGAAUAAGCACCGGCUAACUCCGUGCCAGCAGCCGCGGUAAUACGGAGGGUGCAGGAGUUAUCCGGAUUAACGGGUUUGUAGGUGGGUUGGUGAGGCAGGGGUGAAAUCCCCGAGCUUAACUUGGGAACUGCCAUUGAUACUAUCAGUCUUGAAUACCGUGGAGGUCAGCGGAAUAUGUCAUGUAGCGGUGAAAUGCUUAGAUAUGACAUAGAACACCAAUUGCGAAGGCAGCUGGCUAAACGAGUAUUGACACUGAGGCACGAAAGCGUGGGGAUCAAACAGGAUUAGAUACCCGAGUAGUC
rnacentral:rRNA from 1 species